GGAUCCAUCUAUCCGUUUUUUAAAUUGCGCCCUCUAUUGGCAACAAGUUCUUUCAUUCAACGAAUCACGUUUUAUCAAUUUUCCGUCAAAAGUUUGUUCCGACAUUUUCACACUUUGUGACUAGUUUAAUCCAUCCCAAUCUACUGCCUUCUCAGAUAACGCCUACGAGAAGCAUUGCCUUUUUACUCCUUGUUCAUCACUGACGUCAUGUACCCCCAGCUUGAAUAAAUCACUACAGGAGCUUGGAGGCUA